rnacentral:lncRNA from 1 species
AAAGUAAAGUAACCAAGAGACUUGGCAGCCCACGUCAGGGCUGCCAGCUCCAGCAAUGAACCAAAUUUAGAAGCUGUUAUGUGAAGAAUCUACAGGACAUUAAAUUUAAAUGGUUUCCCUGCAUAAAUACCUCCUAAACUAGGUGUGAUGGCGAGAUGAGUGCUAUGGCUCCCAGGAGGGUCGGUCUCGGCAGUGCUCCCGCAGUCAGGGUGCACCUGGUGAGGCGCUCAGCUGGCACGUGCAGGAUCCGGCCCCUCUUUGAGGCUUCGUGUCUGUACAAAAGAAGAAAACCCAAAACCCAUCACAAAAAUGCUGCCGAUAGCCAAGUAAACUCCCUUAUUACACAAUAUCACUGUGAACCAAGAAGUACCUUCCUAGCAGAGGGGCUCAGCAGCAGUUGCAGCUGGGAAGCUGAUGAUUCCUCUGUAAGAUAUUCGGUGCUAGUUAUUGGCAAGAAUCAAAAGAUGUGA